CAUGGACUACAAAAAUGCCUUGGAUAAUCCAGAACCUUGGAGAAGCGAGACUCUGUUUACGAAUUUAGCACCAAAAUAUCACGAUAUAUUGAAAACAUGGACUACAAAAAUGCCUUGGAUAAUCCAGAGGCUUGGAGAAGCGAGACUCUACUGUAGUCAUAUAAUGAUGGAAUUAUUAUUAAUAGUAAUAAUGGAAUUAAUAUUAUUCGUAGCAAUCUCGCUUUAUUUUUGUCCCGCCUUUCUCCCCAUAGGGACUCAAAGCGACUAACGGUGACAUAGAUUUGGUCAUGAAGCCGAAAUAAUCCGGGAUCAAGAAAAGGGGAGUGCAGCUUUCUCCUCCUUUCCCUUCUUAUCUCAGGCUAGAUCUACACUGUAUUAUAUCCCAGGAUGGGAUCCAUAGAUUAUUAUCUGCUUUGAACUGGAUUAUAGGAGUCUACGAUGCCAGAUAAUCUGGGAUAUAGACCAGUGUAGAUCCAGCCCCAAAAGGCUCUGGAGUUGGGACCCGGCGGAAGAAGAGCUGUCCAGGGUCCUGAACCCGAUUUCCUUGGAAAAGGACGUCUUGCCUGGGAAAAGCGGGCAGGAAGGAAAUCCUAUCAGGAUUUCAAUGAAAAAUACAGGGACUCCGAUAAGAUAUACAGACUGGACUAAAGUAGAAGAAUUCGAAAGAAAAAGAAGUUGAAGGAUAAGUGUUAAAGAACAGAAGGACGAAACCUUUUCGUACCUCUCUCCUGAUGGAGAAGAUGAUGAAGAUGAUGCCAAAACUACCAGGCCUUGGGAGCUUGGAUCCAAGGGAUCUUUUUAGUCUUUCUUGCUGCAUAAACGAUAUCAGAGACUGAAGAAAUAAAAAGAAAAUAUAAGAACUUAACAUGGCUACAAUAUGCCCAAAUUAAGGAAAAAUUUGUGUUAGACAAUAAAGUGGGCUUCUGUUCCAAUGGAAAAUUUUGGGACAAGACACUCCAAUCUGAUAAGAAAGAAAUAACAAAAAUCUAUGAUAAAUUACUAGAAUGGACAAAUGCUACAGAAGAAGUUAAAAGUUGUAUGGUAAAAUGGGCCCAAAACAUUGGACGUUCAAUAUGUAUGACUGAAUGGGAAACACUAUGGAGGAAAAAAAUAAAAUAUACCUAUGCGUGGGAUUUAAAAGAAAAUUGGUUGAAAUCCUUCCACAGGUGGUAUAUUACACCCAAAAAGUUGGGAGAAAUGUAUAAGGGAACUCAAAAUACCUGCUGGAAAUGUAAAAACCACAUCGGAUCGUAUUAUCAUAUUUGGUGGACAUGUAAUGAGACAGCUAUAUUUUGGAAAACGAUACAUUCAGAAUCUCAAAAAAACUAGGGAAAAAUUUCCGAUGAAACCAGAAUAUUAUUUAUUAAAUUUGACAGACUCAGAAACAAAAUUUAAUGCAAAUGAAGAUAAAUUAUUUACGUAUAUCAAUACAGCUGCAAGGAUUAUCUAUGCAAAACACUGGAAAUCACAAGUGAUUCCGGGGAAGGAAGAAUGGCUCGAGAAAAUUGAAGACAUUAGAGAUAUGGAUGAGCUAACGUUUUUAUUAAAGAUGCAUAGAGGACAGUCAAUAAAAAAGACAGACUGGGAACAAUAUAAAAAGUAUAAGGACAAACAGUAAGAAACAAGCUUUGUUACUGGAGAAUUGAAU